rnacentral:sRNA from 1 species
GGCUCUGAGGAUGACUUGUGUGGGACAUCUGUCACCCCAUUCAUUGCCAAGAUGAUCUGACUGUCUGUGUGGCAGCUGUCCCAUUCCUCCCCCACUGAUCCAUGUAUGUUCUUCCUGAAGCUACACCUUGUAUUGAAAACCUUCUGCAACAGAGGAGUCACUGUAUUAUCCUUCAAGAUUCCCCCAAACAAGUCUCAAGAAAAAAACUGGACACAUCAUAAUACACGACUACACAACUAUAGUAAUCAAAAUAGUAUGUCGUUGCUAU